rnacentral:rRNA from 1 species
UACGUAGGUUGCAAGCGUUGUCCGGAAUUACUGGGUGUAAAGGGCGUGUAGGCGGAGGAGCAAGUCAGAUGUGAAAUCCCGGGGCUCAACCCCGGAACUGCAUUUGAAACUGUUUCCCUUGAGUAUCGGAGAGGCAAGCGGAAUUCCUAGUGUAGCGGUGAAAUGCGUAGAUAUUAGGAGGAACACCAGUGGCGAAGGCGGCUUGCUGGACGACAACUGACGCUGAGGCGCGAAAGCGUGGGGAGCAAACAGG